rnacentral:lncRNA from 1 species
AAAACAACCACUUAACUUGGUCGCAUUAACAAGGCCGUGUGCUUAGGGAGGCACCCCCUGCCCUGUCCAGCUUCGCCUCUGGGCAAGCAUCUUCUGAAGUCGGGUGGUCAGUACAGCCAAGAGAACGGUUCACUUCUUCGUCCGUCACCAGAAUGUCCCCCGCCCAGUCUCACAGCUUCCAGGAAGACGUGCAGUCUGUCACUCAUUUGGGUAAAUAAACUCUCUAAUGGGGAGAAUGAGUGUCUCAGGUCAGGACAGAGUGGUUGUGGUGGAGGGGGAGAAAAAUCUGAGAAAGCUGUUCCAGCCCCUUCUCCCCAGACUGCAGCGGGGAGGGGAGAAGUCCCCUUCAGAGUUCCUGGUUGCCCAGUACUUGGCUCAGGGGUACUUUUCCCCAAUGACUACAACUGUGAGGGGUGAGCUGCUCGGCACCUGCAGUGACUUGGUGGUGAGCUGUGGCCCAGAGUGUUGAGACACUUAAUUGUCAGUGUCAUCCUGGUUUCCAGGAUGCAAGCAGGUCACUGGGACCAGAACUCUCUCGAGUCUCCAGGAGCUCUGGUCACUAUCAGAUCACUCUUUAUAUUUUUGUAGUUGUAGAUGGACAGAAUGCCUUUAUUUUAUUUGUUUAUUUUUAUGUGGUGCUGUGGAUCCAACGCAGUGCACAAAUGCUAGGCAAGCGCUCUACCACUGAGCCACAACCCCAGCCCCAGAUCACUCUUUAGAGCCUAAUGAUGACAGUAAUGAGCUCUUGCCAUGUGCUCGGCACUGGGGUAAGGAGCCCCUUGCAUCAUUACGGUUUGUAAAACCCAGUGAUGCUGGUCUUGGUUAUCAUUCCCAUUUUACAGAAGAGGUUCACAGAGGCUCAGAGAGGAGAAGAAAAUUGACUAGGUUCACGAGGGUAUUGGCAGGGCUAGGAUUUGGAACCAGCUCUAACUUGAGAAGCAGGCUGAGGCUUUGCAAUCCUAUUGAAAGAAAGAAUGAAGGAAUGAAUUGACCUGACUGCAUUGUGCCAAGUGACCUGAACUGCAUUGUGAGGUGUGUGUGUGUGUAUGUGUGUGUGUGUGUGUGUGGUGGCUGCAGAAGAGGAGAUACUUCAUUCCAGUGGAGACUCAGGUGUAGACAGGUUGGAAGCCUGAACUGCAGUCAAUCACCAUCUCGACUUACAGUCUGCCCUGGUGCUAAGCCCUCUGGCCCAGCCAUGCCAAAUGAGCAUCACUGAUUCCCAGAGGCCAGCAGGUCCUGGGCUGCCCUGGACUCAGAAGGCUGUUUCAUGGGACAGGGGCUAGUGACUUAGAGACUUGCUCAAUUCUCAUCACAAUAGUCCCCUGGGCCCCAGGCACCUGCCUCCUGUACCUGGGCAGCAGGUCCCAGCCCACCAUUGACCAUGAUUGACACCCUCCCUCCAUUCAAGGGAAGUUGAGUUGACUCACCUCCCGCAUUAGGCACAGAGCAUUUUAUUGAACGCUAACGCAAAUCACACGGGCAGGAAAUGUCGUAAAGAGAAAAGUAAUCUUCUGACGGAAAAAUAAAUUAUCAGCCGUGUUCCCAAGGAAAAGAAACAUUCUUAAAUAAUUUCUCUUGCUGUUGGUAUUGGCUGGCAGUGUGCGCCAGCCAAGCAAAUGGUAAUUUCCAAAUUAGAUUAUACAUUAUGUCAUAUUAGUUUUAUAUUAGAAAAACAAACGGGAUGGGAGGAGAAGUGCCAAGGUUGGCGGGCUGCAUGGGCCACGUGACAGCUACGUUUCCACUGCAGCGUGUUUAAUGGUUAUGGGAGAGGUGGGGGCAGAGGCAGGCUCUCCGAGGAGAGAUAGGAUGGCUCCCCGGCCAGGCCUCCGUGAGUGUGGGUGCAGCUGGGGCUGAGGGUGUGGGACCCCUGGGAACACCAGUCUUGUCCUCCUUUCUCAGGGAAUGUGGAUCCUCCUUAAAGGGGCUGGCCCAGAGCCCUGGCUUUGGAGUCAGCCUGUCCUGGCCAGUAAGUGUCUAUAGGGGCAGCAGGUGGAGGGGUCAGCCUGGAGGAAGGAAGGCCCAGUAGGCCCUGCUGGCAUAUCUGCUUCUGUUCAGAGCAGUGGAUGCAGAUGUCUCUGCAUCUCACAGCAGGAAAGUGAUAAGAGGUGGACAUCAAGCUAUAGUGCCAGCUCCCCUGAUGAAGGCUGCUACACACCAGGUGGAUGGACCUGGGCUUCUUGGCUCCUCAGGAGCACUCUAUCAGGCCAGGUGACAGCUGAGGAAAUGGAGAAGCAGAGAGGGGAAAUAACUUGUCUGUGGCCACACUUUUGGGAAAUGGCAGAGCCUACGAAUGAACCCAGGAUCCAGGACUGUUGUUGUGACCCCACAUGGUGUGUGAGGCUAGGGUCACAGUGUAAGAUGCCUGUGAGGGGACAGGGAGUGAGUGAUGAGGUGGCUGGUCAGGAGGGUUCCUGCAGAUGCUGACACAUCAGACCCCUGAUCCAAAAGGUCUUUUCCUCUCGCAGUGCUCAGUCUCCCUCAGACUGUGCACUUGUUCGUGUGUGAAUUUGGACAUGUCUAUUAGCCAAUUGUGAGCCUCUCAAGGAAGAGAAGCGGUCUUUGGUUAUCUUUUUAAACAUUCAGACCCAGCAGAGAGGUUGACACCAUUUUGGACGGUCAUAGUAGAGAUAGGAGAAACAGGAAAUCUAGAUGGUUAGAGCUGGAAAGCACUCUGGGGCCUCAGGAGCCUAAGUCAGGUUUAUAGAUCCAGGGACCCCAAGUCUGCAAAUCUGCCUCCUGGCCCUGUGACAGGCACUGCUAAUCAGCCACAGCACCCCUCCCUUAAGACCUUCUCAAGCAACGAGACCCCCUACCCAAAAAGUCCUUGACUGAUAAUGCUAAUCAAUCAAAGGUGACACUGAAAGGAAGCUUACGUGCCUCCCUGGGUCUAGCCCACUUUCUAGUUGCAACUGAGGAAACCAAGAGCAUAGAGGCAAUGGGGCAGCCUGUAGGGAAACAACAGUCAGGUACAGACAGAUCUAGAACCCAUCUUCCAGGGCAGACAAUGGGGUAAAAGAGAAGACAGAAUAAAUCGAUUAGCAAGUAUCGAACAAGUAACAGUGUGUGCCCAGCUCUGGCGCAUAACUGGACAAGAGAUAAAAUAGGACCCAGGGACCAUUAGGCAGCAAUGCAGGCUAGAAAGCCCUAUCGCUUUGGACGUUCCUACCCUCAAAAUCUUUUCCAUAUUCCUCAGGAGAUCUGGGUUCUAGUUCUUUUGGUAAUCUGUGUCCUCUCUCUGGACCUCAGUUUUUCCAUCUGAUAAGUGGGACAGGCAUGCUACUCAGGCUCUGUAAGAUGUAAAAUCCCUUCCAAGAUACCAGCAUUCCAGGAUUCUGUGGUCUCAGAAUUCAGCACAGAUCCUCCCAGACUCAGCUGUUCCUUGCGGGUGGGUGAGGCAAGGGAAAGCUGCAGUAACUGGCUCUGACCACCAGGGGGAGAGGGAGGUAUUCAGCAUCACUCCUGCUGAACUCCAUCGGACUCCCCUGCUGGCCUGGAGGGUUACUGCUGCUCUUGACUUGCUUCCUGUUUCCUCCUUCAGUACCCAGCUCCUGGGAUUAUCUGACUGGAAACAUUCACCACAUACUCACUGAGCCCUGCCUCUAAGCCAGGCUCCUUGCUGAGUGCUAGGGACCCCAUCCCUGCCCUUGGAGGAACUCGCCAAAAUGGGCCAAAGUGUGUGGGGACUGCACAGAUGCUGCCUGCGUGGUAGGUGAGCCCCGUGACUUGGGUGGCGGAGAAGCCUUGGGAGUGGAGGGGAGACCACCUGGGAAAGGUGAUGUCUGACUGAAUGCUGAAGCAUGAGGCAGAGUUCAGCAAAGAAGGGGCAGGGGGAGGGCUGCAUGCUCCAGGUAAGGGACGGCAAGAGCAAAGGCCCGGCUGCAGGAGGUAGCUCUGUGGACUGCAGCGGGGACCAUGUGAGCAAGAGGAGAACUGAACAGGGACAGGCCUGCAUCCUCUUGAAAAUGUUUGUCAUCUGCUGAACCCCAGGCUAGGUGAAAGGCCUUGAACAUCAUCCCCAAACCCCGGAUCACUCCCCUUCCUGGGCCCUGGCCUGAGUGACCAAACAUUUAUAAUAAGAAUUUGUUUCUAAAUUUAGCUAAUUGCUGUGUGGCUUCUUCAUGUCCCCAUGGGGAUAGUUGCUCUGGGGGGAGUUGGAAUGGGAAAGUGGCCUCGGGACUGGCAACAGCAGCAGGGACACUGUGGUGCAGGGGAGGUGAGGUGAAAGGGCAAACCUGGGCCUGUCUGGCGUCUCCAGCCAGGAGGCAGAGCCCCGCCACUGCAGAGCCUGGAGCUUGGGAGACACGAUCCUGGAGAAAGCAAGAGGGAGCCAUCAUUCAUGACACAAUGACAGGUUACCAGGAACUUUGCUCAUAUCAACUUGUCAAAAUGCCCCAAUCUCCUUGCAAUAGAGGUUAUGCCUUACAUGUUGCAGUUGAGUUUGUAAGUAGCACAGACCGGAGAGGUUAAACCACCUGCCCCGAGUAACAGCCAGAAAAUGGUGAUACUGGGAUCAGAACUCAGUCUGUUUGCUGACUCCCUGUCACUUCUCUUCCCGGCAUGCCUCGGUGGCUCUUUGUGUUUCCUGCCUGCCUACUUCCCUAGAUGCAGUGAGCCUCUAUUCCUUCCCAGACUCCCUGGGGCUGCCCUCUUGUCUGGACCACCAUGUCUUCUGUUUCUUUUCUUUACCUGGUGACAGUCUCACUUUUCAGGUCUGGUUCAGAGGUCUUGGGAAAGGUCCUCGGACUCUUUCAGGGGCAGUACUUUAGUUUGCCCUUCCCUCCUUGCCCACCCAUUAUGCACCAUCCAUCAACCACCUCUUCCUGCCUUAACUUGUUCCAGAGAAUUUCUAGCUGAACAGGUAGAGUCCUUCACCAUCCCUCCUGCCACCCCACAGUGCUGUGUAACACAGUGGGUGCCAUCUUCUAAUGCUCAUGCUCGAGCCUGUGCCUCUGGGCCUCACUAGCUGGGGAGCUCCCAAGGAUGAGGGCUGGUUUGGACUCUCUCUGGUCCCAAGCACAGACCAACUCAGAGCCCACCUCUUGUCCACCUCUCCCUGACUUCUCUCUUGCACAGAGAGUUCUUGCGUUUGGCUUGUUUUUCCAAGAAGAUCGUUUUCAGUGUCUGGAGUGACUUGGGGUUGAGAUUGACAGUAGUUUCUUGGGUGCCAAGAGACAUUUACAAAUAGCUGCUGUCAGAUGGGGAGAAUUGAACAGGAGAAGCCACUACCAAGCAGCUCUGUUUACCUUGCCCAGGACCACAGGGCGAGCUGAGAACUAUAGAGAAUUCUGGACAUUCGAGGGACCCCAGGUUUGCCUCAGUGUGAGUUGUAUAGACUUUGUUCAAGACUGAGGGAGGCUCGGAGACUUGAUGUGUCCUUGGGGGCACACAAAGGGGACAUUGGGGCAUGUGCCCCCAUCAUGGGUGGGGCUGGGCUGUGUCAUUUUCCUCUAGGUUAUGUUGCAGUGACAGAUACACCAUGUCAUGCCCCAAGCAGGGGCUUUACAGUCACAAAUAUUUGCUUUCACCCGAUUACAUUUCAUCUUUGGUGCUUGGUGGGUGGCUGUGGCUCUGUUCCAUCACAUAGUCAUGGGCAGAGAGUAAAAGAGAAAUGGCUAAACCACACAGUUGCUCUUCAUGUCCCUGAUACUCAAGUUUCACUGGCCAAAGCAAGACACAUGGCUGUAUACAAUGUAAAUGCUGCCCAUGGAGGCACCACAAGCUACCAGGCAAUGGUGGGGGAUGCAGAAUCCUCUUCCUGGGAAGGGGCAGUGAAUAAUCAGGAGCAAUGACCUUUGAGCUGACCCUGCCCCCCACCAACCUGGCUUGACCCAUUCACAUGCUUUCUAACUUUAAGAACAGUCUGAGGCAUCUCUGGAGAAGAAAGAUGUUCCAAUUGAAUGUCCAAGUGUGGCCCAGGCUGCAGGUACAGACAGAGGGGUGCAGAGAAAGGAGGUGCAGCUGGGGUGGGCUGGUCAAGAAGACCCUUCUUUCCAUCCUUUGCCUAGCAAACUCCUCCUCUUCCUCUAGGGUCAAUUCUAAUGCCACUUCCUCUAAGAACAGCCUUGUGAGGUGGACCCCCCAAGACUGGGCACACUCUUUUCUGGUGGUCCCCCUUCCCAGGUGCUCCCUCUCUUCCUUUGCUUUUCUUGUUUCAACCCACUGAACACGGUACCAUGCCUGUUGAUGUCCUAGUUCCUGGGAGCAGUGGAGAGCUGGGGUUGGCUUCUAGCAGGUGGCAGAGUUGAUGGUCAGCACACUUUCUGAUUCUCAAUUCAGUGGCAUUGAAAAAAAGUGGCCAGGUAAGGGUAUGCACAUUGCAGAAAUUAGCAAAUGCUACAAAUAAGAACUGCUUUCCUCUUGGAGAACCAGUUGUUAAAUGCAUGCUACCAGCUGUUGCCUUGGCAACGGUGUGAGUGCUGGGGUGUUGUGCCCUGCCCAUGUCUUUCUCCCUAUAGUGUCUGGUAGGGUCCUUGGGUGUUCCACAGGACAGACAGAAGGAGGGAGAGGGGAAUGUGUGCCGGAACUUGUGAGAGUGGAUGAAUGUGUGUCUGGCUGGGUUUUGCGUUCUGGUCUGUGUCUGUUUGUCCUUCCCUCCAGGACCUCCUCCUGCCCCUAGUCCCCUGCCUUGUGCUCAUUGCCAUAGGGGAGGUAGGUGACAAGGCAGAACCCAGGAGGCCACAAGCCUUUCUGGCCUUUGUUCUCCAAAUGUCUGAGCAUUCAGCAUUGAGAGUGUUUGCAGAGGAAGUAAAGCGAGAAGGAUAAACAGAGUGUCUUGAAGAAAUGUGAAGGGGAGGGGGGAGAGGAGAGGCAGGGCCUGCUGUCUGCAUCCCAGGCUGCUGGCUUCACUGGGAAGGCCACAAGAGACCCAGGAAGGAGAGCUGUGUGGGUACCCAGAGGAUGGAGCCGUGGAACUGGCCGAGGAGGCCAGACCUGCAGGGUCCUGCGGAGCACCUCAGGAGUGAUCCGUGUGGGCAGGUGCUCAGGGACGAGUGUUGUGCCCUGUCCACCCCAUUCCCGCUGCACUCCCUUCUUGACAUCAUGACAAUUCCAGAGAUGUGGUGACUCCAGAAAUCUGGGGAAAGAAGUUAAGUUUUAGGAAACAAAGGAAGUAGCAUUUCUUGCAUCUUCUUGCUCCUAUCUGAGUUCCUAAGAUUGAGACCUGAGGGUUGUACAUGCCACUCAGGAAUGAGUUAGAUGAGAGGUUGGCAAAUGUUUUGUGUCAAGGCUCUGCAGGCCCCACCGUCUCUGUUGCAGCUGUCAAACUCUCGCACAGUCCUGUGGAAAUAGCCAGAGAUGACACAUGAUUAUGAAUGCGCACACCUGGGUUCCAAUAAACCUUUAUUUAUGGAUACUGAAAUUUAAAUUUCUUAUGAUAUUCACGUGCCUCAAAUCUUCUUCUUAUAUUAAAAAAUGUAAGAUGCAACCUCAGCUCACGGGUGGUGGCUGUCUCCUUUGCUGACUUAGAUGAUCCACUGAGGAGUCAGCAAGGCGGGAGGGCAGCGUUCCUGGAGAUCCAUAGGACGCCUGCAGAGAGGACGUCCCCUCCCUGUUCCCUCUGCACGCACCCCCCCGCCCCACCCAGCCCUGCACUGGCUCCCUGGGCCCUGGCGCCAUCUGCAGCCUCCCAAGGUGCCUGCCUGUAAGACUCUGGACCCUCUGUCCGAGGGUGGCCGGCAGCUGGACUCCACAAGGUGGGCGGCCGGCCGUGUUCAGUCUCCGGGAAAUGAGUGUGGACACGGUGUGGGCCCAGUGGGGCUGCCCACCCUGGCCUGCCUGGAUCAGGUUCCCGGCGGCGUCUGAGCACUGUAAACACAGCGGCUGGACAGGCCAUCUCUCCUGAGGUCCAUUGAAGGCAGCUCUGCCCAGGAGGAAAGCAGGAUUGGGACUGACAAUUUGACAUAAACCACGGAGCAGUGUCCAGCGGUGGGGGAAGCUGGGCGAUCCCCUCCCUGAGGCCCCCACACUCACUCCAGGGGCAGCUGCUCCCAAUUACCUUCCUCUGUGGAGCCAGGGGUCCUCUGAGUGGGGAGCCCCUCAGAGCUCCCCAAGUCUACCUCUUCUGAUGCUGGUGGAGAAACUGAAACCCAGAGGGGGACACUCAUUGACUAAACUGUUCCAAGACUAUAGCUAGAAGGUUGGUCUCUGGUGUCCCAGGACAGGGCUCCGGACCUUCCCUGGGUGAUCUGGAGAAGAAAGACCCCUUGUGUGGCAGUUGGGAUUCUGCCCCUUAGUCUCCAGCUGCCCCUGGACAGGGCUUCUUUGGACCCACGUGGGAGUCACAGCCAAAACACACACAGUUGUGUUCACUGCAUUUACACGCUUAGGUGAACGUGUGCAGGGAUCCUAGCUGAGAGCAUCUAUUAUGUGUCAGACUCUUCAGUGCAUAUUUGCCACCUCUUGUGCCUCUUGCCAGUCAGCUGCUGAUCCCAAGGUGGAUGCAGGUCCAUGUACACUGACCCGGGCACGAGACUGCACAUGUGCAAGGACACGACGCACAGAGGUUAACACGUCCAGCUUCCCAUUGACUUGCUCAGCCACACGGGCGUCUGCUCAGGCACAUGCGUGCACACCCACACCCUGCCCCACGGGCAGCUCUGCCUGGUGUGCCAAGUGGACAGUCCUUUCUGGGGUCUUUUGACACAUUUCAAAGUUCCAUUCAACAAUCCGAUCUGAGGGUGGGGGCCAUGGGCCCUGAGAAUGGAAAAAUAGGGGAUUUGGAAAAUGCCUGUCAUUUUUUAGCUUUUUCCAAAGAUGUCCACAGGAGCCCAGUGGGGCCCUCCAAUGUCCAGCCUUGGCAUCCCCCCACUUUCUGUCCCUGUUGGUCUUGUUCACUCACACCAAGCCCACCGCACUCUGGUAGUCUCAUCCUGGUCCUGAGUGCUGGGCAUGCUCAGCUCACUCCUCCCCUUAUAGGCUGCCCCAACUGCACAGAUGCUCGGAAGGUGGACAGAUAGCAGCUGACCCUGAAUGCUUGCUGAGUGCUUGGCUCCAUUCCAAGUGCUUGGUGUACACUGAUUCAGACAAGGAGACAGAGGCACAGAGAAGUAAUGCAACUGACCCCAUACCACACAGCCAGGAAGUAGAAGCGCCGGCAUUUGCAUCCUAGCUAGCUGGCUUCAGAGUCACCAUUUUAAGCACUCCACUCUGCUGCCCCUGGGACACAGGGAAGAUUGAGUCAGAAGUGCAGGAGGACCAGGAGGAGGGGAAGUUGAACUCUUGUGGGCCUACUGUGUGUCAGGCUCUACGGUACUGGGAGGGCCCGUUGACCUCCCUGCCACCAGAUUUCAGCCCACAAGCCCUUGUCCACACUCCACCAGGGGUCGUCCUGCUGCUCAGCACCACUGACAGGCACCGUCUCCUCUAAGACGUCCCACUGGGUGCAGCCAGGCUGUGGGUGCGAGUGUGGCACCAGCAGGCUGGGCCCUGCGGCCCUCUGAGGUCAAAUGUGCAAAGGGAGACACAGUUCCUAAAUGUGUUCUCUCCUGCUUCAUGUCCACUUCGUGUCCCCUUCUUCCCCUGGCAUGUCCCAUGCAUGGCUUGAACUUUCCCGCCUCCUAUAUUAUGCUCAGGCUGUGUGCUCUUUGUCACCUCUUCCCAGCCUUCAAACUGCCGCCCCCUCUGGGAAGCCCACCUGGAUCAUUCUGCUGCUGGUGGCCUCUCUCCCCAGGCCCUAUUACAGGUCUGUGCCACCUCCACGGACAGCACUCCGACCAGACAGUUGCAACUGAUCCCACGCCACGCGUGUUACCCAGCUCUGCCCUGUGACAGCUGUACUUUGGUGGGAGCCCCAGUCUUUCCUUGUCCUGGAAUCAGGGGUUCUUAUGUCCAUGGGAGCUCAUUAAGUUUAUUAAUUUUGUUCUCACUGUUUGGCACAGAAACUGCACAUAGUAGGUGCUUAGUGCAUGUUCAAAGGAUGGGAUUCUUAAUCUUAAUUCUAGAUUAUGCUUUAAAAACAAAUUAAUUAAAAUGUAAUUGAUUUGCCAUUCUAAUAAUGGUUUGGGAGGAGAGGGAGCCCCUCAGGGUGGGGUGCAGGCUUGGGACUGCGCCCUGAGAUGGCCAUCCUGGGGGCAGUGUCCAUCCGGGCCUGACUGCCUGCCCACCCUCCCGCCUGCCAUCCACAUGGUGGAAGAGUGGUGAACAAGGGCCUUCCUGUCUUCCUGUUCUUUUCCCUUUUCUAAAAAUAAUCUGGAAUCUUCCCCUCAGCUGCCCCCAAUUUUCUCCUGCUUGACCCUGAUGACCCUGUGCCCUCGGAGGAGACCACAUGUGUGCCCACUGCUGGACAGAUGGGCCAACCCUGGGCUGCAGAUGGUGGCAGUCAGGAGCCCGCCCUGGCCUCUGCCCCAGCGCAGCCGGCCCCUCCAGCUAUGCCCUCCUGGGAACAAAGCACCGGCCAGCCCCUGGUGGGGUGGGACGGGGGAGACUUGUUUACAACAGGAAGCUCCACCCGGCUUUUAUGAGCUGUCAUGAUAGUAAUAAUCAUCACCCGCAUUUGUAUACACUAAGUACUUCCACAUCUGUUAUCUCCUGGAGUCCAUGCAGCAGGGCUUUGAGAUCAGUAGUGUAGCUAAGACUGAACUGAACAGAUGAGGGAAACCAGGGAAGUUAAUUGACUUCUCUAAGGUUGCACAGGUGGGAAAGAGCAGGGCCAGUGUUCAAAUUCAGGUGUCUCUGAUCUAAAAUCAUCCCCUCCUGCUUGCUGACAUCGGAGCCAGGCAGUGGCUGUGUGACUUCAUGCCUGAGGAGCUCCUGUUGUUCUUUUAGCUGCUAUUUAUUGAGGGCCUACUGGGCUGAGAACUCACCACUAUCCCAAAUGUGGGCAAUGAUUAUUAAACUCAUUUGGAGGAGGAGGAGGAGGAGAAGGAGGAGGAGGAGGAGGAGGAGGCUGAGACAGAUGCCAGAGAUAUGGUCAUGUGACUCACUCACGUCAUUUUUCAGUGAAGGGGACUUCAGGGUUUGGGCUGAGGGCUGUCUGCCUUCAGGAUUCUUCUCCUGCAAAACAGGUCAUCACAGUUGGUGACAUGUGCUUUACUCUUGAUUAACUAAUAUGGCAACUAAUGUGGCAACAGGUCAUCUUCUGAGUGCCUGCUCUGUGCCUAGCACAGGGACGUAGGGAUGGACAAGAUGCCCAUGCCUUUCUGGGUUUCAUGGGAGAUGCAAGUGUAGAUGGCAAUUAUGGCGCAGAGUGGCAAACCAUUAUUAGCCAUAAUAGCUAGCUCUGCACAGUGUUUAUGGCUCAUGGAGGGACCCGGAGAGAAAACUGGCCAGUUCCAUGUUCUGCUGAAAAUGGUUCAGGGUCUUUCCUGUUGCUGCAGUGUCUUGUCAGCUUUCUGGACUGGAAUUCAAGGCCACGGUGAUGUGGAGCCCAUCUCCUCAUCCCCUGCUAGCCCCCUGCCUCUCUUUGUGCUCCAAACCACCAAACCGCUGGAGGUUCUUACCUGGCGGGGGAGAUUCUCACCUCAGAGGCCUCACCAUGCCGCGCUCUUCCUGGAACAGCUCCUAACCUGUGCCCCACUUUGUUCUGGUCACCUCUGCAAAACUCAGAUGGUGCCACCUCCCCAGGCUAGGAGGGCAUCUGGGAGGGAGUGGGUUUCCUGCCAUUGGAGAUGUGUGAGCCAAGGAUAGAAGAUCUGGACAGGGAGGCGAGUCAUUUAACCUCCAUGGGCCUCAGUUUUCCCUUCUAUGAAGUGGGCUGGAGAAUAGGACUUAAGGCAGGUGUAGGGACUCACACCUGUAAUCCUAGGGACUCUGGAGACUGAGACAGGAGGAUUUCAAUUUUAGCAAAUUAGUGAGAUCCUCAGCAACUUGCAAGACCAUGUCUCAAAAUGAAAAAUACAAAGGGCUGGGGAUGUAGCUCAGUGGUAAAGAACUUUUGGUUCAAUCCCCAGUACCCAGAAGGAAAACAAAAGGACUUCACUAUAGCAAGAUAAAAACCCUGUUAGAGGGCGGCAUAUACAGCAGCCUGUGGAGCUAAGAGGAGGAGGGUAACCAGGCCUGUGGAGUCAGGGAAGCCUCUUAGAGGCUCCAGCACCAAGAGUGAGCUCCAGGUGAUGCUAUUAUUAAUAGCUAACACUGGUUAUGUGCAGGCUGCUCUUCUAAGCCCUUUAGAUGUGCUAAGUCCUUGAAACUUUGCAGCAACUCUAUGAAGCAGGUACUGUUGUUAUCCCCAUUUUACACAUUAGGAAAUUGAGGCACAGAGAGAUCAGGUGACUUGCUUAAUGACACACAGCUAAGAAAGGGUCAAACAUGAAUUUUAACCUGAGCACUUGGCUCUCGCGUCCAUGCUAAAAACUCCAUGCUAUUACAGAAGGAGAGGGGCUGUAGGGGUGGAAGUCAGAGCCCUGGGACAAACACAACACAAACAAGCAGAGGAAGGCGAUACUCUGUUCCCUUCCUGCUCCCUCCAGGUCCAUAUAGGUGGAGAACAGUAGCUUCAACCCCAACUCAGGGCAUUAGGCACCUUCUCCAUGGGGACCGCAGUCUAGCCUCCUCUUUCAGCUUCUGGUGACAACUGCCUUUCAAAGCUGAAAGAGGAGGCAUUAUUCUCAAUUCCCUGGAGAAGGAACAGAGACCACAGGGUGGAUAGAGGACCAGGUGGUCUCUCGGACAGCAACUGGGAGCUGAGAUCCUGGACCCAGAGGCUGGAGCUUCUCUUUAGUCACCAGUGCCCAAAGGUGCCACCUUCUGUGCACUCCUGUGCAGUAAGAUCUGGAUGGACACCUUCAUUAAGCAUGCAGCACCAGGCCUGCUCCGCACCUGCUCCCUACAUGAACUUGACCACAGUAUUCCAGCGAGUGAGCCCAUGAUUGUGUGCAGAAGUAGCUAGACAUGCAUCAGGCUUGCCUGCUGCCCUUGAACUCUUCUUGCUCCUGCCCCAUGUGUUGACAUGGGCCACUGAACAUUGGCAGUGUCUGCUCAACUCUGCCUUUUCCUCCUCCCCAGGGUGCAGAGCCUGUGGCCCAGUGUUGCCGUGUUCAUCUCCCUUGCAGUGCCCCACCCUACACCCAGCCUCCCAGCCUCCAAGCUGGUGUAGGAUCCCGGGCACAGAGUCCAUAGGGUGGUCCAGCCCUUGGGUUCAUUUCUGUCUGGGAGCCAAGGGAUAUCACUCAGUAAGUGGGGAGCCAGACAAAAAUGACUCUUCUCCCUCCUCCCAUCUGUAGAGGUUUCAUGCCUUUCCUGUCUGGGAGAAAAACACAUUUUUACUGAUGGAGAAAAAGGCUAAGACACGUGCAAUGACUUGUUUGUGAUCAGGGACCAGAAACCAGAAUCCUGACCACAAAAUUGGAUGGAGUCCCCCAACCUCCUGCUCUUCCCUCACCUUUUCCUUUUCUUUCUUGGAGGGAAACAAGAGAAUGAAGCAGGCAGGUUUUAUGAAGUAGAAAGAGUAGAUAGAGGUCAGAAGCUUUGAAUUCUGGUUCUUAAUUUGCCGUUAAUUGAUGAUGUGACCUUAAACAAGUCAUUUUCUCUCUUUUAGCUCCAGGUGUUUGUAUUAAUAACUUGGAGAAGGGAGAAGUCACUUCCACUCUUUUGCUUGUCCAAAUGGAUGUAAAAAUCAAUUCAACAAAAUAUUCUUUUGUUUUUUAUCCAUCCAUGUUGAGGGCCACAGCUGAGUCGGGAUGAAGCAUGGCAUUUUUGCCAGAAGUAGUGGUUGAGAGGUGAUACCAGCGAGUUCUCGCGGAGUUCCCGUUGAGUUUCAGUUGAGCUCUCGCGGGGAUUCCCAGAGAGCUCCGAUUGGUUGGGGAAGUGCCGGAGGAGGGAUAUUUUCUGGUUGCUGGUUCCUGGAUGAGCCGCGUGGCAUUUGGGAGAAUUCCCGGGGAGUGUGUGUGAAGCGUGCUGGUGGAGUUCAGAAAUAAAGUUUGUUCCUGCUUCAGUGGCUCGUGAUUUGUGCCCAGCCAGACUGCGGCACAUCCAUCCAUCCAUCUAUCCAUUUACUCCUCCAUCUAUCCAUCUGCCUCCCCAUCCUCCAUUCCUCCCACCAUCUACUCACCCAUCCCAUUAUGCAUACAUGGAUGCAUUCAUCCACUCACCCAUGCUGCUUUCCAUCUAUCCAUCUACUCAUGUAUCCAUUCAUGCAUUCCCCCCACUCCUUGAGUCCCCUGCUCUGUGCCAUGCACAACAAGAGAAGGGCCACAUCAUUCAAGGUCUGCCUCACUUUCCAUCUCUUCUGGGUUCCCUUGUGGAGACUGAUGGCCUAUGUGUGAUGGUCAAUCUGGAUAAUCAACUUGAUUGGAUUAAGAAAUGCCUAAGAUUAAGAGGCUUCUGGGUGUGUAGAUAAAAGGUAUUUCCAGGAAUUAUUGGCAUGUGGGACAGCAAACUGAUGGAGAGACCCACCCUACAUGUAAAUGGCACGUUCUGAUAGGCUGGAGGGUUGGAUGGAACAAAAAGAUGGAAGAAGGAGGAAGCCAAUGCAGAGCAAACUCCAUUGUUAUGGACAGGGAGCUUGGAUUGCUGCUACUUCAAUUGCUGGACUCCAGCUUCUUCAGUCUUCCAGAGAAGACUCUGACCAGUGAUUCUCCAGGUAGUUUCCAGGCCUAUCCUCUUGGACUGGGGCUACAUCAUUGGUCCUUCUUUUGAAGCUCUAGUUUCUUGCACUGAGCAGUUAUUGGUUCCUUCAGUUCUCCAGACUGCAGGUGGCCUCCCGUGGGACUAUCCAGCUUCUGAUCCUGUAAGGCAGCCUAGUAAAUCCCUUUUUAAUAAUCAUAGUUGUAUAUAGAUAGAUAGAUAGAUAGAUAGAUAUAGAUAGAUAUGCCAUUGGUUCUUCCUCCUGAAAACCCUGACCAAUACACCACCCCUACAUUCUUGACAAUAUCUGUCCCUCCAGUGUCAUGCACAACCAGGUGGCUUUUGACACAAUUAGUCCUUAACCAGCCUGCGAGGUCCUGAAGGGCAAGGACUAAGGCUGAUUCAGCUUAGCGCCUUCAGCACUGUUCAGCACCACAUAAGCUUGAAUGAAUGUCCUCUGAGUUCAUAGCCUGUUCCAACCCAAGUCCUAAUCCCCCUGGGCUUUCCAGGAGAGUUUGGAUCCAAAUAAUGAACAUUUGCCUUAGAUUGCUCUCUUCUUUUUGGUGUUAUUGUCUGUAGAGAGAGCAUUCUCAUUGCCUUAUUUCAGAGAUCAGAGAGGUUGAUUCCAGCCCAGGGUUACACAGCGAGCCCAUGGGCAGACUUGGAAUAGAAGCCCAGUCUCCUUGGACUAGUGAGCAAUCCUCAUGGUGUCACCCUGGGAGCUGCCUUUGGAGACCUGCCACAUGGGCCACCAGGAGGGGAGGCAGCACUGAAUCACCACCCUCCCUCUCCAUCUUUCCAUCCCUAGACUGCCCAGGCAGCCUUGCCAUACCAAGGCCCUCUGGCUGUCCUGGCAAGACACUGGGGCUGGGUGGGGACUGGAAGGCAAUGAAUUUGUUAUUUUCGGGCUCAGGCUGCUCCAGAGCUGCCAGGCCUCCGCUGGCUGGCUGGGCUCACCGGGGCUUUCCUGGUUCUGGCUAGCUGUGGCGGUCCCCAGGGCCAGUCAGAGUGACAGAGGUCAGACCUCCCCUAGUGUCUGAAAUGUGUCAUUGGUAGCUGUGAGCUGCUCUCCCCUUCCCCCUGCUUCUGUGUCCCAGGAGCUGUCCCCACAGGGUGCACUGGAUGUGCGGCUCCAGAGGAGCUGUCAGCGGAGGUGGUCUUUCCCCUCCCUCCCCUCCUUCCUCCCUGGCCCCAUAGCUCUCAGCCACAUUGGAAGAAUUAGGGGGCGGCUGGCAGAGGGAGGUGGCUGGCUCCCAUGGCGGGGACCGUGCAUAAGUCCUACCACAUUGGCGCAGUGUGUGUGCUGGCUGCGGGAAGUGGGUCCUGGCUCUGUGACGCUGUCCUGGGGGCUCUGGGCAGGGUCUGCCCAGAGAGCCUUUCUCCCACCCUGGCGUCAGGGACCUUUCUGGGCCAGUGUUUUUUCUUUUUUCUGCUCAUCACAUGUUAACAGGGCGCAGUCUGGGGCCCAGAUCUAGGGCUCUGGGUCAGUGGCAGCUCUUCCCUCUCCAGGACUCUGUCUCUUGCUGGGGCUUCUGUAGUGGCAAAGAGCCACUGAGGCGAGCCCCUGGGACUCAGAUCUUCACUGUUUAAGAAGUACCUCACGCCUGCUCUCCACCUUCACCACCAUCCUGCAUAGCUGGUGUUCUCAGGCCCAUUUCACAGAUAAGGAGACAGAAUCUUGGAGAGGCUAAUGCACGUGCGGACAGAAGCCAGUUUUCUCAUGCUACGGAGCCCCAUGCUCUUUCAGCUUCUCUGUGUCCUUCUGGGAAUCCAGUGUUCCAGCUCUCAAGCGCCUGUCACAUACCUGCUCCUGCAGGAGUGUGGGCAGGUGGGGCUACCCUACCUCACCGAAUGGGGAGUAUGAGCCCCCAGCUGGGGGCUCCUGUGCCUGCAGCAUUGGUCUGGUCAUCCAGACUACAGGAGUGGGUGUAGCCAGAGCCCCUUGGUAGGAGGCUCUAGACCAGAAUCCCAAGGGUGGUGUUGGGGGAAGAUUAGUUAAAUGUCUAUCCCCGCAAAACUCCAGGAAUAGCCUUGCUUCCUCCCUUCCUUUUUUGUGAUGAUGUGACAAGGCCUCUAGGCCUUUAAUAUCAUUUUCUUUAUGUCAUUAGCAAGUAAUAGAUAGCUAAGUAAUAGAAGUAAUAGAAGCUAAAUUCGUAUAGUAUGCUGGCUGCUGCUAGGUCUUGUGCUGGCUCCUGUGUGAAGCCUUCUCCAUGCCUGCUCUCAUUAAGACCUCCCCAGCAUACUGCAGAGGGGUUCCUAUUAUUAUUGCAUUUUAGAGAUAAGGGAAUAGUUGGUGGGAUGGGGACCCUGGCUCAAAUUCUCAUGGUUAUAAGUGGCAGAGCAGGGAUUCGGUCCCAAGCUUCUGUGAGGCUGUCAUUCUCAGCACUGAGACACUUCGUGGGAGGCAGGAAAGAGUAGGAACCACAACCCAUCCUCCCCAGCCUCACUCAGACAGCAGAAAUGGGGUUUUGUGUGGUAGGAAGGGAUGUGGGCGGGGCCUCNGGAGAAGGAAAUACUUGAGCAGAGGGUUGAAGGAGGAGUGGACUUUGGUCAGGUGGACAUGUCUGGGGAAGGUGCACCAGACCAAGCACACAGCAUGUGCCAUGGGCCAGGGUUGGGGGAAAGACAGUGAGGAUCCUAAGUAGAUCAGGGUGCCUGGAGUGCAGAGCAGAAUCCUGAGCCCCAGAUCCAGUAGGGUCUCAGUUCCAUCUCUUCACCACGUGGCUGUGGAGAGUCACAGCCAGAAAGGACCCUACAGUAGGGGUUUAUCGAUGGUGGUGAUGAUGAUGAAGAUGAGUGAAAGUGAUCUGUUGUCUUGGGUGCACCGUCCUGGCUCCACCCUCCAAAGGGUGCUGUUUGUAUAGGCUUGCAAUAUUCCCUUAGGUUGGAGGUGCACAGACUGUUGAGGCACGCAGCUGCCCGCUGCUCUAGGCAGGCAGGGAGAGCUCUGAGGUCGGGAAUCUCUCCUCCCCCACUGCAUUCCCUCCUGGAAAGGCCCUGAGGUGGCCCAGUUGGGCUGCAUCUCCCUCUGUCUCCAGUGCCCAGCACCAGGUGGCACCGGCGGCUAGGUAUUCAUGACUAGCAUGAGGUCAGAUCCAUCUGUAUGGAGAAAGGGAUAUUCAAAAAGGAACAGGGUCACACGGCAAGACAAAAAUGCUUCUGCCCAUCUGCAACCCUUGGUCUCUAUUCUACCCGUUGGGCCAGGGUCUCUCAUCAGCCUGGUGAACAGUCCUCAAAUGGGAGCUCCAGGGUCAGGCUGGUGUCCCCUCUGUCCUCCCCAGGUUCUGGGCCCUACCCUGCCCCCAGGACUGCUCUUGGGCAAGCAUCGACCUUCCAAGGACUCCUCGAAGCCAUCCCUGUCUACUUGACGAAAGGCAUCUGGGCCCGCCAGCCCCUCCUCCGCCAGAGCAGGGAAACACAAUACGCCGAUAAUGAUCUAAUAUUUAUACAACGCCUUUCUACCAGAUGCAUCCCAACAAAGUUUACAAGCUGUCCCCGCGGACUGCGCAAUGUAUUCCAGACCCUCUCCCUGCCCGGGCCGGCCCCCUGCACCCCACUCCUUGGUCCGAGGCCCAAUGCCAGCAGAGGCUCGCAGAUCCACCUGAGGAUGGGUGAGCCCAGCUGGCAGCCAGGGACCUGCCCUGCCCUGCCCUCUCUGGGCACUGCCCUGUGGGGAGGUUAUGUGUGCCCAUGACUGGGAAAGAAAGCCAUCCAGAGGAGACGCAGGGCCACACUUGGGUUUUGAAGUUUAGCCAAAACUCACAGCACCCAGCGAGCCUCUCCCCCAACCCUCCACAGCCUCAGACCCGUGGGAGGGACUGAGGGAGGGCCCGGGCUGGCCAGGCACAAAUGUUCCUCCCAGUCACUUCCUCCACGGCGGCUCCAUGAAUGAGGAUUUGUGUUCGUUCCCUCCCCAUAAAUUGCCCUUGGUCACCAGGGCCAUGUUCUGUGUCAGAGUCCCUGACCACCAGCCUCGGACAAAACCUGCUUUGUGAAGUCCGGGAGGAAGACAAACAAAUGAUUAUUACCUUCGUUUGUCCCCUCCCCCCCAACUUUUUUCUUGGCCUGGAGUUAAGACCCUUUUUCUCUGUCAACAAUCUUGACUUUGUUCCCUGAGAAGGAAACAGCUCCGGGAGGGACUUGCAGUGAAGCUGCUUGCAAGAAAACCGUUUGGAAGGAGGGUGAAAAAAGACAGAGGUUACAGGAAAUGGCAGACAUUUUUUGUUGAAUUAAACCAUUAGGAGUGACCCCCAAACCAGAGCCAGGCAGAAGGAACAACUGGAUACAUUUAGGUCAGGACAGGCAGCCAAGUGAGGAGCUGAAACCAAUUACCAUAAAUGAAUGUUUCUCUUUUAUUCACGACCACCGUGCCUGUUCCCAGGAUGCUCUUGGGCGUCUUAUAAAAACAGAUGAACUCUCUGGUUUUGUUCGGGGAGUUAUUAGCUAAUGCAACUGUUGGGCAAUUUAUCAAACAUUAGCACAUACUGCGAUUAAUGGCUGAGAGACGUCGUCACUGCAUGGUCCUAAGCCACAGAGGCUGCUGGACUUCAGGGCUCAGGGUAGGGUCUUCUUGGUGGAAACGUUUAGGGAGGAUGUCAGCGUCCUUAGGAGAUGGAACGGAGACCCUGGAGGGUCUGGGUUCAGAUGCUGCUCUGAGUUCCAGACACCCUGAUCUGCUUAGAGUCCCCAUUGUCUUUUUUCCCCUGGGCCAUGGCACAUGCUGUGUGCUGGGUCUGGGGCACCCUCCUCCAACUUGUCUGCCUGACCAAACCCACUCCUCCUUCAGCUCUCAGCUCAAGUAUUUCCUUCUCCACGAGGUUUUUCCUGAUCCCUCCUAGCAGCUGAGGGGCUCCUUCUGUGUGCCCCCUGGAUCAGGUGGGACCCUACUUACCCCUAACUUGCAUUGUCUUGGGUCGGAUUGUGGGCUUGCAACUUGAUUGCCUAGACUUUGACCUCCUAGGAGUCAGGAGUGUUUGAUCCCUUGCUCUGUCCUUAGUACCCAGCAGGAGCUCAGGGGAGCCGUGUGCUCUGUGUGUGUGUGUGUGUGUGUGUGUGUGUAGUUUUUUUAAUGAAUGCACUAGUGAAGGGAAGACCCAAACACCAAACACAGCAGGACCUUCCUUGACUCCUGAAGUCUUAGGUGGUCUUUCUCUCCUCUGAAGAACAGGCUCAUGAUUUUUCCCAGCCCAAGUGUCUCCCACUGUAGAGCUGCAGAAAACUGGCAUCUAGCUGAGAGCCACACAGGGGAGGAGAAGGGACACCUGGGUUUGUGGUCUGAUACAGCUACUUGCUCUCUGCGGGCCUCAGUGUCUUCAUCUGUGAAACGGGCUACAUAAGUAACUCAUUGUCAAAGCUUCUUGGGAGAAAAGUUACUGAGGGCUACUCAGUUUGGGUGGGGGGCAUUUUCAAUCCAACAGUGGAGGAAAAGGAAGCAAACUGAAUGCAGACGUCUGUAUUGCUUGCCCUUGACUUGAGGAAAGGAAUAGAUCAGUUCCUUUGUGGGUCUUUGGGUGAAAUGCCCCUUCGUGUGGAGAUGCGGGGAAAACUGGUCUUCAGAGUCAGCAAGGAGCUGGCCCCAGCCCUGCUCAGUUGUGUCCUAGUCACAUCUUUUGGAGUCUCGGUUUUGGUUCUGAGAAAUGGGAGAAUGUUACUUUAUACCCCAGGAGACAGCAGGAGUGCUAAGUGCUGAGUCUAACCACUGGCCCCGAGCUGGGACUCAUUAAAUAGUAGCUGCUAUUAUUGUUAUUAAUUAUAUUAACAAGCGCCACCAGCAGGCGUGGAGCACGGAAGGAGCGGUCUUCAGUGCCAUCUUCUUUUUUUUUUUUCUUGCCGACAAGAUAUUUUGUAGGAGUCUUGGUGUUCCAGAAUUAACAUUCUUGCCCUCUGCUAAUUCCACCAAAUGUGCCUCCUGCCUCUCAGCAGCCCCUCUGCCAGCCUCCGCAGUCGGCCUUUCCAUGCAGAGCCGCACCAUCCCGGCCGCCUGCAGCUGACAUCUGCCAGAAAAGCAGACCACCUUCUGGCAUUUUCCGUUUGCAGCUGGGAGAAAGGCAAGGAGGGCGGGCUGGAGAGGAAUAACAAAGCAGGCUCCAGCUCUGGCUCCCACCCUCAUGGUGGGCCAGGCACUGCCAAGGAGCAGGCCCCAAUGGGCCCAGGGCAGCAGGCACCCACCAAUGGGCAACCCUGUGUUCCCCUGGGCCAGCAAGCAUGGCAGAGAAGGAUGCAGGCAAGGUGCAGAGGGGCUUCCUGGAUCUAGAGAGGCUAUAGGAUCAGGACUCUGGGGCUUCAGGCAAGUCCUUUUGCCUCUCUCAGACUCAGUUUCCUCUAUCUUUAAAAUGGGAACAAACAUGGGUGCACAGCCCCUUAGCCAACAUGAUAGGUCAGACAUGUUUGACAGUCAGAAUUUUCCAGAGUUUUAGAAAGUAAUGUUGUCUAUGCCAUAUUUUAUAAAAGACCUGCAACUGUGUAAGGGAGCAGGGAGCAGUCUGUGAACAAAUGCUGAUUUCUGCAGUAAGAUAUAUGAACACUGAAUUGCAUAAGACUAGUAAAGAUCCUUGGUAGACAUUAUUAUCUUAAGUACAUGUAUGAAGACAUGAAUUGGUGUCUUUAUAUACAUACUUUAUAUACAACCAGAGAUAUGAAAAAUUGUGCUGUAUACAUGUAAUAAGAAAUGUAAUGCCUUCUGCUGUCCUUUAUUUUUUUUUUUAAUUAAAAAAAAAAAAAGAUCCUUCGGAGCCUCGUGGAGGCUCAGAUCAGGUUUUCUUGACACCAAAAAAUUUUGCUGCAAAUUCCUGGGGAAAUUCUCUAUUUUAUAUCUUGGAUUUUGGCCUCUAGGUCAGAAGACUGUGGACCUGUAAUGUCUCUGCUGUAGGGUUGACUGUAAGGUGGCUUGCAGAUUUUCAGAGACUGGGAGGCCCUGGAUCCUCCAGACCAGUGGUUCUCAACCUUUCCUACCAUGGGAAACACCCAGGAGCUUUAAAAACCUCAGGUCCUCAGACCCCACUCCUACCAGUGUUCAAUCUGGAACUGUGGGCCUGUGGCCUGGCAGGGAUGUUUCCAAGUGCCUCUUGGGUGACUCCGUGUGUGUGUGUGUGUGUGUGUGUGUGUGUGUGUGUGUGCGCGCUUCACUGAGACAUAUUCACAUAACAUCCAUAUUCAUACACAAUGUACAACUUUAUGGCUUGUAGCUGUGAGAGUGGUGUGCCCAUCUCCACAAUCAAUUUUACAUAAAUUGAAUAAAUGUGGUCUUUUGUGAUUAGUUUCUCUGAUGUAGCUUAAAGUUUUCAAAGCUUUAUCUGUGUGGUAGCAAGCAUCAGUAUUUCAUUCCCUUUUAUGCUGAAAAAAAUCACAAUAUGUUUAUACACUUAUCUGUUAAUAAUGGCCAUUUGGGUUAUUCAUCUUAUGGGUCUCAUGAAUGAUGCUGCUAUGAAAUUUGUAUACAAGUUCUUGUGUGGACGUAAGCUUUCAGGUCUCUUGGGCAUAUACUUAGGAUUGGAAUGGCUGGGUCAAACAGUAAUGCUACGUUUAAAACUUUUUUCAGGAAAUGCUAGACUUUUUCCCCCCGCAAAGUGUCUGCAUCAUUUUGCAUUCCCACCAGCACAGUAUGAGGGUUCUGAUUUUUCCACAUCCUUGUUAUUAUCUGACUUCUUGAUUAUAGCCAUCCUACUAAGUGUGAAGUGGCUUGUCAUUAUGGCUUUGAUUUGCAUUUCCCUAAUGACUGAUUGUGUGGAGCUCUUUUAAGUGCUUAUUGGUCGUUUUCAUGUCUUAUUUGGAUAAAUCUCUUUUCAGAUCCUUCAUCCAUUUGAAAUUUAGCUUAUUUAUUUAUUUGUUUUUGAGUUUUAAGAAUUCUUUAUAUGGUUUAUCUACAAGUCCUUUAUCAGAUAUAUAAUUUAUAUAUAUUUUUCUUUUUUGUACUCUUAUUUGUAUUUUCUGAUUGUCUUCACUUUUUUGGCAGUAUCAUUAGAAGCACAGAAGUUUAACAUUUUGAUAAAGUCAUAUUUAUCUUUUGUUGUUGUUGUUGCUUGUGCUUUUGGGGUCAUACCUGAGAAUCUGUUGACAAAUUAAUUCAAGGUCUUAGAUAUUUGCCCAUAUCUUUUCUUCCAACAGUUUUAUAAUUUUGGCUCUUAUCUUUAGGUCAAUGGCCAUUCUGAGUUAAUCUUUGUAACUGGUGUGAAGUCAGAGUUCAACUUCUUUCUUUGGCUUAUGACUAUUCAGCUGUCCCUCCUCCAGCGAUGUAUGUACAAUGUGAGAGCCACUGUAUUGUAUUGUAAAUCCUAAGAAGGAAGAGUUCAUGUUUUCUGUGUCCUUGGCACCAAUCAGAGCAGCAGAGGGAUAGAAGGUUGGAUGGAUGGAUGGACAUUUGGAUGAUGGAUGAGUAACAUGUAUACCCCCAAGGCUCCAAUGAGGGCAAAUGUGCCAUGAGUUAGAGAUGCUGAGUGUCAGAGGAGAGAAGGGCUAGGUAUUGAUGGGAGGACUCUCUCUUGGUAUGAUAGAGCUGGGGAGGACCCUGUCUUGGUAUGACAGAGCUGGUCCAGUCUGUUUUGAUACAGUUUAAUGAUUGGGAACUACCUCCCUAUAGAACUAGUCACCAGGGAGGGGUCUUAUUGACAUGAAGGAGAGCUCUCUGGCAUCCAUUCAGUGAUCCUCCUGCCCAGGGGCAGGCCCAGGAUCGGAUAGUCCCCAACCAGCUCCAUUCCUUCUUUUCUUCUGAACCCUUGACUCCUGUUAAUUUAGCCUGAGCUCAUGUUAGCUAUUUUUUUAAAUUAAUCCCAACAUAUUGUUUGCUCAGAUUAAGCUCAUGAAUCUUGUUAGCAAUAUAAGAUAAACCAUGCAUUAUUUGUUAUAAUAUACUGACAUCACCAAUAAUAUUAUUGAUAAUAUAUUAAGACACUAUAUUAGGAUUAAUGAUGAUGACUAACAUCUUGGAGUGCUUACUAAGUGCCUGCAUUUUACAAAGUCCCCUGUAAACAUUGUUUCAUUUGGUUUUAAAUAAGGGAGUUAUGAUUGCACCCAUUUUAGGGAAGGCUGGGGUUCAAAGUAGCUGACUCAAGGCUGCAGAGCUUAGAUUUAAAAACCAUGUUUUUCUGCCUUCAGAGGCCUUGAUUUUGAGCUCUGUGCUUUGCUUCUUGGUGACUGUCAUUCCUGAGGGCAGUGCCACUCGGCCUAUCCUUUCUGCCUCUGUGCAGCUGCUGUUGAGCCAGGCAUUUUCCAGCGUCCCAGGCCCUGUUCUGGGUCCAUGAUUCUUCCCUCUCACAUCCCUGUUUCCCCUUCUAAACUCUGGGCUUUCCUGAGUUUUUCCAGCCUGUCCCCUACGUCUUUGCUGAGAAAAUCCUCACCAGGCCAGGGAUGGAGGCAGAAUCCUUCAUAUUUUGCUCUAGCCCCUGUCUGACCUUAGGAAUAAUUCUUCAAGACUAUGCAGCCAGUUGGGAGCCCUACUUGAAUGCAUUGUGUCUUGGUACCUGGCACCUCCUCUGGGGACUAAGAAACCAUUGUCAUAGCACUUUCCCUUUCCUGCUCUUGUACUAUCCCAUAGCAUUGUCCCCAGACAUGGGGAGCAUACCUUCCCCUUUUGAGAAGUAGUUCACAGAUAAGCAUGGUGACCCUGGAGCCCAACGGGGCCUUGCUCUGCAGAUGCGCCCACACACUUCUCCAGGAAGGUGCCCACUGUUCUCAUGUUGCCAGCCCAGCUGGAUCCCUGCGGCAUGGGGGAGUUGAUUGCCCUCUGCACAGCCCUUGGAGAAGGGCACAUGUAAAAGGAAGAAAGCCCUUGGAACCACUUUCCAAGGCCAGUGGUCACAUUUUCAAGGCCCAAGUAACUCCUGGAACUUACAGAAAUGGCUGGUGGUUUAUUUUCAGUCAGUGCAGUUUGACUGAUGCGAUUCACCAUAACCAACAAACUAGAGGCAAUUCCUUCCUUCUCAGCUACACAUCAGACGACUCCCUCCUUCAUUCAUCACUGUGUUGAAUUGUUUUGCUCAUUCGCUCACCACCUCCUCCUUCAUCCAUUUCCCUGACACCCGUGCAGACUCUUACCUCUCUCAGGCUUUUCUCCAAUGUCACAGUGGUAAUGAGGUCCUCACUCCGUCCCUCACCACUGCAAAAGCCCUUGUCCUGUUUCGUUUUUCUCCACCACCUUUCUAGUGUACUCUCUGAUUUACUUUUUGUUGUAUUCACUGUCUGACUCUGCCACAUUUAACAGUCAGGAAUUUGCAGAGAGUCUUCCUUUCUGGGUGGGAGGUGGAGUGGACUUCACCUCUGAGGUGCUUUCUCGACUCAGCUUAAGCCACUAAGAAAUUUCAAAGACAAAACCUGUCACAGCAACAAAUUUCUUUUAUUAAUAGGUCCUCAGUGCCUAGAACAGUGUCUGGCAUAGAAUGGGGUUUAAGAAAUGCUUAGGAAAAUUUGUUAUACAACAAAUACAGCUCUGCAAGUCUGCUGGGGACCGACAUGCUUUUGAAGGAAGCCAGGAUCCAGGACAGGUGUUUGAGAUGGGGGCCUGAGGACUGAGCUUUGAAGGCUGAGCUGCUGUUGAUGUUGACAUGUGGGUGCCUGACGGGUGGAACAUUCCAGGUGGUGGGACCACUGGUACAAAGCAAGAGGAAAAGAUAGAUUGUAUUUGCAUUAGUGCUGCUGAGGCCUAAGGGCUGGGCUUGGUAAAUAACUAACUGCCCGUGGGCCUGAGGGGAGGCCAGCUCUGGGAAGACUGAGGUUAUGAGUUGGGGAGUCUGGGGAGUCUGGGUGGAAGGUGAUGUCAUUAACCAAGGGGGACAUGGGAGGUUUCAAAAAGAGAAGGAAAGAUGAUGGCUUCAAGCCCUCCCUCUCAAAAGCCACUUUCAAUUACAAUUUGACCCACAUUUUUUGCAUUGUGUCGAUUUUAGUUUUGAUUCAUGUUGUCUGCUUUUGCCAAGAGCCAGGAGAAGAGGGUGACUGCCUACCUCAUCCAUCUCUGCUGUCUUACAUCUAGGUGUCUGUGAAAUGUGGCUUCUUGGUACAGACGUGAGACGGGGCUGCAUGGGAGACCCACCCACGGGCUCGCAUUGGCUGCGGUCAGUGAGGGCUGCGGCAAGACUGGGAUGCCAGCUGAAGCAUUAGAGUUUGACGCUUGGACCUGGUCACCUCCAAAUGAUUGUCUGCUUGCAGAAAAUUAUAGUUAAUGCCUGCGCUGGAAUAUUGAGCAAGCAUCAGCCACAGCUCCACAGCUAUGGAGCUGAUGUCAAAUUGCAGUCAGAAGUUGAGAGGAGUUGCUGGAAGUAUUCUGAGGAGGAGUCUUGGAAGGGUUCUUCCUGGUGGAGUGAGAAACCCAGGGAGUGGCUCUAGAGCACCAGCAAGGACCCUGCACAGUUAGAUAUUUCCAAGGAUGGAGCGGGUGAGCUUUCACAGCAGUGAGUUCCCUGGCCUGAAAAGGCUGCAAGCUGGGGUGGAAUAGCCACCUAGUGGGGCGGCCGCCAGGGGCUGAGUGGACCUCACCUUCAAGGUGCUUUCAGGACUCAUCCCACGCUGCUAAGAAAUGUCAGCGAUGAGACAAGUCACAUCAUGGCCUCUCUUCCAAUCCUGAGACACCCUCCUCCCCAUAGGACCCAGACCCAUGGCCUUGAAUGAUGAAAAGGCAUCAAUAUGUGGUCAUAAUAAAAUGUUCCAACUAAUGAAUGAAAAAAAGGACAGAAUUUGGUAUUAACUGCCAUUUUUUAAUAUCCAAAGAAUGAAUGGUGCUAAGCUUUGAGCACCAAGGGCUGCUCACAAUCCCAGAGGAAGACGGCCAGACACCGUAGGCUUCUCAUGGAAGAGCACAACCCGUGUGUUGUCGCACCAAAGGGGUUUGAUCCACUUUCUGUGUCCAACCACCAACUUGGAGGAAACCAGGAUACACCAGGUCCAGUGAAUAGGCAGUCAGCAAAGCCAUUUAUGUGGACACUCCAGAGACCAGAGGCUGAAGUCCAUCCACAGAUUAGCAAUCAGGGAAAUCAAGGGAUGGGAGUGGAAAACGGGAUGAAGAGACCUGAAAGUUGUGUCAAAAAUAGAAACUGACACAACUAAGCAAUAAUAUCUGGGGAUGUACACUUAGUUAAGAGGAAGAAGGGGGCUGGGAAGACUUCUAGGGGAGGAGUCCCUAGAUAGCACCCCCUUCUGAGACUGAAGAUGAUAUCUAGAGAUGUACACUUGGAUGAUAAAAGUAUAAAGAAAAGGAAGAAAGUAACAAUUAUUAUAUAUAUUUAUAUAUAUAUUUAGUUGUAGUUGGACACAAUGCUUUCAUUUUAUUUAUUUUUAUGUGGUGCUGAGGAUCGAACCCAGCGCCUCUCGCAUGCUAGGUGAGCGCUCUACCCCUGAGCCACAACCCCAGCCCCUCCCUCCCAAAGUAAUAAUUUAUUGAAGUUAGGGUUUGUGGUUCUUUUGGGGGUAUAGGAAGGGUUAUGAUUGGGAUUAAGGUCCAAGAGGGACUUGUGGGAUGACUGCUGCAACUCUAGUUCUUGACCUUGGCAAAGAUUACAAGGGUAGUCACCUUACAAUGAUUCAUUAAACUGUGUGUUUGCUUUGUGUGUCUUUCUGUUAUUUUACGACAAAAGGUUAAAAAGAGUAAGUUCAGUUGCAGUGUUUUGGUGUGACCCCUCAAGCCCUCUAUCAGGCUGAGUUAGGUGCCUCUGACUAGAAGUGGUGUUUUUCUUCUAGCGUCCCAGACACUCUGCAAUGUCAAGAUGGAGAGAGAAAGAAACUGGAGAAAAAUCGCUGCUUAAAAAUGCCAGAAACAGCAAUUACAGGAAUGUGCCUCUUCCUAAGGAGCCCCUUGCUGAAGGAGAACUGGUUUGACCCAGACUGGGGAAAAGUGGAGGUGGCGGGGAGAUGGGUGCCUGUGGAAGUCCCAGGCCAGUUCAUCCUCCUCAUCCCCUGGUCUGCCACUGCCCCGCAGGGUGGGCCUUGGAAGCUCUGCCUGGCCCCUGGGCCUCCCAACCUCCGGGGAGAGGUGAUGAUCAGUUUCUUGUGGGAUAAGGGAUGGAGACAUUUAGAUAAAAGCAAAAUCAAGUUGACAUCCCUUGGGAGGGAUGUGGGAAGCUUCCAGAGCCUGCUCAGUGGUUCCACGUCUUAUAGUCUGGUGAACAGGGAGACUGCCCCUGUCCUGUGCUGAAGGCAGCCACCAGGGCACCAGCAUCAUGGUGCCUCUGUGUGUGUGUGUGUGUUUGUGUGUGUACACACUUAUAAGUGCAUGCACAGGUGUGCCUGCAUUGAGGGCCUGGGACAGGCCUGACCUCUGCCCUCAGGGGUUCAAAUGAGGUUCCCUGGAUGGGCCAGCUGAAACAGCGGUGGAGAGACUGUGCUGGGAGUCCUGAACUCCAUGGGCAACUUCAGGGAAGCCACAUGAAGUUUCUGGUCCUCUGCUGUGUCACCUAAAAACUGAAGGGACAGAAUGAGAUGGCCCCGUUAUCCAUCCCAGCUUUAACAGCAAGGGCUCUGAACUGCAAGAGUUCUUGAUCCUUGUGCUGGGUAUCAAAGAGCUUUCUUUCAAAACAAAAAACAAACAAACAAAAAAAAAAACGAGCCUUAGGUCAACACUCACAUCUCCCUCCUAGGGACAAUAUACUGCCCUUGCAUGUAACCCUCUCAUUUCUUAGUAUCUUAGAAAAGAAAGUGCAUGUCUCCCUUUCUGACUCACUCUUAGAGCCUGUGGUGCCCACACACCCAUGAAUAUUAGAAAGAUGUGCCCCUUGCAUGUGCUGCCCAGAAUGCUGAGGGUCAGGCUGGUGGAGAGUAGAGGGUAUCUUCAUGCAAACUAGAAAGAGAAGCCCUUUGUUUUAGAAGACAUGGCCUUGUGGCAGUACAUAGAGUUUGGGGAGCAGAACAAGAGAUGAAUUUUCUCUCUCACCCACCUUCUGGGCAGGGUGUCUUGGCGGUGAACAACCUGUGUAACUGUACAUGGUGGACUGUUUUACUACCUUGGGUUUCUGGAGGGGCCAGACAUCUAUUCAUGCUCCUAUAAAAUCAAGUAUAUGAGGAAAUAGAGAGAGGCCUUUAGAGAAUUCCUUUCCAUAGUAACUUAGAGCUCAGCACAGGGCCUGCGAGACAACAGGAACAAAAAGUGUGUAAUGGCUCAUUCUCCAUCAUGGUUACCAACUUGAUGGAUUCAAACAUAGUCUGCCUUCCUUCUGUAGACUAUUCAAGUUCUCUUCCAUUCCCUGAGAGCUCCACCCCACCCUUCCAUCCCAUCUCCAACCAGAGGAUGCCUGAUUCCCUAUUCCUGGAGAAGCACAAGCGAGGACAGUGGGGUUUCCCCCUCAGUUUCCUGCCACCAACACCACCCCCACCAUCACGCCUUCUCCCUGUUCCCAGCCACAGAGCCCCUGUCUGCAUUCUCUGGAUUUUGAUCCCAGCAUGGCCCCCAUACAACGCAUCUAUUCACCAUUCAGGUCUCAUUGAGGAUGACUUCUCCCAGGCAGAAGGGAAGGUGAUGUUGAGAGCCAAAGCCAAGGGGCCCCAGCAAACUUCCAGCUGAUUGGCUCAUAGCGGCCCCAGCAAACUUCCAGCUGAUUGGCUCACAGCGGCCCCAGCAAACUUCCAGCUGCCAGCUGAUUAGCUCCUCUGCUGUGAUGCUCAUUGGGCUGUUUCCCGGCUCUUUCAGACCAUGGAGCUGCUCAUUGGGGGACUCUUUUGGCUCCACCCACGCGACCCAGCCAAUCAGCCUCAAGAGUGGGAGGAGUGGGGGUUGAGAGGCUCACUGGAAGCCGGUGGUGGCAGUUGGGCUCUGAGGGAAUUCCUAAAGAGCUCCUGUGGUGCUGUGUGUGUUCUAAAAAUAAAGUUCGUUUCUGCUUGACAAGUGGCUCUGAAUUGUGCCCAGCCAGACUGCGGCAAGGUAGUGGGGGCUUCCCUGUACCCCUCUCCUGCGGGUCACCAGAGAGGUCUUCCUGUUACAGACUCGGGCAGCUUCCAUUUCUUUUUCAUAAAACUCUGCGUUUGUAAUCAUCUUCUUCAGUUUCUUUUCUUCCCUGAUAGACUGUGGGCUCUCCUGGGCAGGAAUGGUGUCUGCCAUGCUCACUGGUUCCAACUUUGUGCUGGGUCCUCAGCCUGCUAUGUGGAAUGGGGACAAGAUGGCGUUUGCUGCCUGUGCCUGAAC